rnacentral:rRNA from 1 species
UGGGGAAUAUUGCACAAUGGGCGAAAGCCUGAUGCAGCGACGCCGCGUGAGGGAUGACGGCCUUCGGGUUGUAAACCUCUUUCAGCAGGGACGAAGCGCAAGUGACGGUACCUGCAGAAGAAGCACCGGCUAACUACGUGCCAGCAGCCGCGGUAAUACGAAGGGUGCAAGCGUUGUCCGGAAUUACGGGGCGUAAAGAGUUCGUAGGCGGUGUGUCGCGUCGUUUGUGAAAACCAGCAGCUCAACUGCUGGCUUGCAGGCGAUACGGGCAGGCUUGAGUACGGCAGGGGAGACUGGAAUUCCUGGUGUAGCGGUGAAAUGCGCAGAUAUCAGGAGGAACACCGGUGGCGAAGGCGGGUCUCUGGGCAGUAACUGACGCUGAGGAACGAAAGCGUGGGUAGCGAACAGG